AUUCCAUGAUGAAGACACUUACGCAAUAAGUCCUUGAAUCGCUCCCAAGCCUCAUACAAAGACUCGUCAUCCAAUUGUUGGAAGGUUGUGAUCUCAUUCCUCAACUU
rfam:Gossypium hirsutum cultivar TM-1 chromosome 10, whole genome shotgun sequence